rnacentral:piRNA from 1 species
UGGCCUCGCAAUCAGCUGGCUUCUGCCUAA